rnacentral:lncRNA from 1 species
UAUGGUGUUCUAUGGGGCGCUAUGGGGCUCUGUGGGGCUCUAUGGGGUGCUAUGGGGCGCUAUGGGGUUCUAUGGGGCGCUAUGGGGUGCUAUGGGGCGCUAUGGGGUUCUAUGGGGCGCUAUGGGGCGCUAUGGGGCUCUAUGGGUUGCUAUGGGGCUCUAUGGGGCGCUAUGGGGCGCCGCCCCACUGAUCCCCACCCCACAGAUGGAUACGAGAACGAACCCGGAGCGCCUGCGUCACGGAGCUCUGCUGGGAGCUACGAGAACGACCCCAAUUCCAGCCCAGCCUCAGCCUCCACCCCAAAUCCCAGCGAACCCACAGCGCUGAGCCCUGGAGCAGCAAAACUCAUCACAGGUAACGGCCCUAUAGGGGCAGCCAGCCCAUAUAGGAUCGCACACCCAUAUAGGGUCAGCCAGCCCUUAUAGGGUCACCAACACUUAUAGGGUCACCAGC